UACAGAGGGUGCGAGCGUUAAUCGGAAUUGCUGGGCGUAAAGCGCACGUAGGUGGCGACGUAAGUCGGGUGUGAAAGCCCCGGGCUCAACCUGGGAAUUGCAUUCGAGACUGCAUUGCUGGAGUACGGAAGAGGAAGGCGGAAUUCCCGGUGUAGCGGUGAAAUGCGUAGAUAUCGGGAGGAACAUCAGUGGCGAAGGCGGCCUUCUGGUCCAGUACUGACACUCAAGUGCGAAAGCGUGGGGAGCAAACAGG
rnacentral:rRNA from 1 species